AAAAGCUAUGGGGAGCUGGAAACGAGCGUUGAGCCAUAGAUGUCCGAAUGGGGGAACCCGGCUGCAGCGAUGCGGUCAUUUGCAUUUGAAUACAUAGGAUGCAAAGGCGAACUCGGGGAACUGAAACAUCUAAGUACCCGAAGGAAAAGAAAUCAAGAGAGAUUCUCCAAGUAGCGGCGAGCGAACGGGGAGGAGCCUGGCGUGAUUUAUUAUUGAACUGAGUAGAACAAUUUGGGAAAGUUGGCGAUAGAGGGUGAAAGCCCCGUAUACGAAAGUUUGAUGAGGAACUAGGCACGCGAACAAGUAGGCCGGGACACGUGAAAUCCUGGUUGAAGAUGGGUGGACCAUCAUCCAAGGCUAAAUACUACUUACUGACCGAUAGUGAACCAGUACCGUGAGGGAAAGGUGAAAAGAACCCCGGAGAGGGGAGUGAAAUAGAAUCUGAAACCGUUUGCGUACAAGCAGUGGGAGCAUGGUUUAGGCUGUGUGACUGCGUACCUUUUGUAUAAUGGGUCAGCGAGUUACUUUCAGUGGCGAGGUUAACUGAAUAAGGGAGCCGUAGAGAAAUCGAGUCUGAAUAGGGCGAUAGUCGCUGGGAGUAGACCCGAAACCGGGCGAUCUAGCCAUGUGCAGGAUGAAGGUUGGGUAACACCAACUGGAGGUCCGAACCGGGUAAUGUUGAAAAAUUAUCGGAUGACGUGUGGCUAGGAGUGAAAGGCUAAUCAAGCCCGGAGAUAGCUGGUUCUCCCCGAAAGCUAUUUAGGUAGCGCCUCGUGAAUGAUUACUGGGGGUAGAGCACUGUUUCGGCUAGGGGGCUGUCAUGGCUUACCAAACCGAUGCAAACUCCGAAUACCGGCUAAUUGAAUCACGGGAGACACACGGCGGGUGCUAACGUCCGUCGUGGAGAGGGAAACAACCCAGACCGCCAGCUAAGGUCCCCAAGUACUAGUUAAGUGGGAAACGAUGUGGGAAGGCAUAGACAGCCAGGAGGUUGGCUUAGAAGCAGCCACCCUUUAAAGAAAGCGUAAUAGCUCACUGGUCGAGUCGGCCUGCGCGGAAGAUGUAACGGGGCUAAAACUAGUCACCGAAGCUGCGGAUGUGCGCGAAGGCGCACGUGGUAGGGGAGCGUUCUGUAGGCUGAUGAAGGUGCAUUGAGAAGUGUGCUGGAGGUAUCAGAAGUGCGAAUGCUGACAUGAGUAACGAUAAUGUGGGUGAAAAGCCCACACGCCGGAAGUCCCAGGUUUCCUGCACGACGUUAAUCGGAGCAGGGUGAGUCGGCCCCUAAGGCGAGGCUGAAGAGCGUAGUCGAUGGGAACCAGGUUAAUAUUCCUGGACUUUUUAUAAGUGGUGAAGUGGGGACGAAGAAGGCUAGGUGAGCCAGGCGUUGGUUGUCCUGGUACUUGCAUGUAGGGGGGAAGACUUGGCAAAUCCGGUUUUCCAUAACUCUGAGGUGCGAAGUGGUUCUGACCUUUUGGUACAGAGAAGUCAUUGAUGCCCGGCUUCCAGGAAAAGCUGCUAGCCAUAACUUAUAGAGAACCGUACCGCAAACCGACACAGGUGGACAGGUAGAGAAUACUAAGGCGCUUGAGAGAACUCGGGUGAAGGAACUAGGCAAAAUGGUACCGUAACUUCGGGAGAAGGUACGCCCUUUCUGGUGAUGGGAUUUACUUUCAGAGCUG
rnacentral:rRNA from 1 species